UCAGUCGACUCCUACGGGGAGGCAGCAGUGGGGGAAUAUUGCACAAUGGGCGCAAGCCUGAUGCAGCCAUGCCGCGUGUAUGAAGAAGGACCUUCGGGUUGUAAAGUACUUUCAGCAGUGAGGAAGGUGGAGUCGUUAAUAGCGGCCUCAUUUGACGUUAGCUGCAGAAGAAGCACCGGCUAACUCCGUGCCAGCAGCCGCGGUAAUACGGAGGGUGCGAGCGUUAAUCGGAAUUACUGGGCGUAAAGCGCAUGCAGGUGGUUUGUUAAGUCAGAUGUGAAAGCCCGGGGCUCAACCUCGGAAUUGCAUUUGAAACUGGCAGACUAGAGUACUGUAGAGGGGGGUAGGAAUUUCAGGUGUAGCGGUGAAAUGCGUAGAGAUCUGAAGGAAUACCGGUGGCGAAGGCGGCCCCCUGGACAGAUACUGACACUCAGAUGCGAAAGCGUGGGGAGCAAACAGGAUUAGAUACCCUGGUAG
rnacentral:rRNA from 1 species